GGGGGUAUAGCUCAAUGGUAGAAUGCAUGCUUAGCAUGUGUGAGGUCCUGGGUUUAAUCCCCAGUACCUCCA
rnacentral:tRNA from 1 species